rnacentral:misc_RNA from 1 species
AAGUCGUAACAAGGUCUCCGUUGGUGAACCAGCGGAGGGAUCAUUACAGGGUAUAGCUUCGGCUAUAAACCCCCAAACCAUUGUGAAUUCCACUCAUAACUCUUAUAAUUGUAAUCUCUGAGUAACUAUUUAAUAAGUCAAAACUUUCAACAACGGAUCUCUUGGUUCUG